rnacentral:rRNA from 1 species
GGACUACCCGGGUUUCUAAUCCUGUUCGCUCCCCACGCUUUCGCGCCUCAGCGUCAGUAUCGGUCCAGAGAGCCGCCUUCGCCACCGGUGUUCUUCCCAAUAUCUACGAAUUUCACCUCUACACUGGGAAUUCCACUCUCCUCUCCCGAUCUCUAGCGUACCAGUCCCAAACGCAGUUCCCAGGUUAAGCCCGGGGCUUUCACGUCUGACUUGAUACGCCGCCUGCGCGCCCUUUACGCCCAGUAAAUCCGAACAACGUUCGCCCCCUUCGUAUUACCGCGGCUGCUGGCAC